rnacentral:rRNA from 1 species
UACGGAGGGUGCAAGCGUUGUCCGGAAUCACUGGGCGUAAAGGGCGCGUAGGCGGCCUGGUAAGUAGGGGGUGAAAUCCUGCGGCUUAACCGCAGGGCUGCCUUCUAAACUGUCAGGCUUGAGCACGGUAGAGGCAGAUGGAAUUCCCGGUGUAGCGGUGGAAUGCGUAGAGAUCGGGAAGAACACCGGUGGCGAAGGCGGUUCUCUGGGCCUUACCUGACGCUGAGGAGCGAAAGCGUGGGGAGCAAACAGG